AGUCGAGCGGAUCUUAUCCUUCGGGAUAAGGUUAGCGGCGGACGGGUGAGUAACACGUGGGUAACCUGCCCAUAAGACUGGGAUAACAUUCGGAAACGAAUGCUAAUACCGGAUACGCGAAUUGGUCGCAUGGCCGAAUCGGGAAAGGCGGAGCAAUCUGCCACUUAUGGAUGGACCCGCGGCGCAUUAGCUAGUUGGUGAGGUAACGGCUCACCAAGGCGACGAUGCGUAGCCGACCUGAGAGGGUGAUCGGCCACACUGGGACUGAGACACGGCCCAGACUCCUACGGGAGGCAGCAGU
rnacentral:rRNA from 1 species